GCAAGCAGCUCUAUCACCCUGCAGCUCAAAACUGGCAACGCACUGAAACUAAGCAGGUGUGAGCCUCAUCAGUACCUGGAUGGGAGACCUCCUGGGGAAAACUGAGGUUGCUGUUGGAA
ensembl:rRNA 5S_rRNA 5S ribosomal RNA